GAUGAACGCUGGCGGCGUGCCUAAUACAUGCAAGUCGAGCGAACGGACGAGAAGCUUGCUUCUCUGAUGUUAGCGGCGGACGGGUGAGUAACGCGUGGAUAACCUACCUAUAAGACUGGGAUAACUUCGGGAAACCGGAGCUAAUACCGGAUGAUAUUUUGAACCGCAUGGUUCAAAAGUGAAAGACGGUCUUGCUGUCACUUAUAGAUGGAUCCGCGCUGCAUUAGCUAGUUGGUAAGGUAACGGCUUACCAAGGCAACGAUGCAUAGCCGACCUGAGAGGGUGAUCGGCCACACUGGAACUGAGACACGGUCCAGACUCCUACGGGAGGCAGCAGUAGGGAAUCUUCCGCAAUGGGCGAAAGCCUGACGGAGCAACGCCGCGUGAGUGAUGAAGGUCUUCGGAUCGUAAAACUCUGUUAUUAGGGAAGAACAUAUGUGUAAGUAACUGUGCACAUCUUGACGGUACCUAAUCAGAAAGCCACGGAUAACUACGUG
rnacentral:rRNA from 1 species